GACCCUUUCAUCUAGCGGUCAAGGAUACUACCCUUUCUAGGUAGUUACGAAAGUUCGAAUCUUUCAAGGGUCGCCA
rnacentral:tRNA from 2 species